UUUCUGCUAUGAUGAGUAUGGGUUUUAAUUCGCAUGUUAGACUUUAGAGAUGUAUUCAUCAAUGAGAAUAAAAACUCAAUUCUGAGCAGAUU
rnacentral:snoRNA from 1 species